GGUGAACGCUGGCGGCGUGGAUGAGGCAUGCAAGUCGAGCGGGUAUAGCAAUAUGUCAGCGGCAGACGGGUGAGUAACGCGUGGGAACGUACCUUUUGGUUCGGAACAACACAGGGAAACUUGUGCUAAUACCGGAUAAGCCCUUACGGGGAAAGAUUUAUCGCCGAAAGAUCGGCCCGCGUCUGAUUAGCUAGUUGGUGAGGUAAUGGCUCACCAAGGCGACGAUCAGUAGCUGGUCUGAGAGGAUGAUCAGCCACAUUGGGACUGAGACACGGCCCAAACUCACACGAGUGUCUGCAGUAGGUAAAAUGGGCCAAUGGGCGCAAGCCUGGUCUAGCGAUGCCGCGAGAGUGAUGAAGGCUAUAGGGUUGUAAAGCUCUUUUGUGCGGGAAGAUAAUGACGGUACCGCAAGAAUAAGCCCCGGCUAACUUCGGGCCAGCAGCCGCCGCCG
rnacentral:rRNA from 1 species